UGCCAAACAGCUAGCUUCUAACCAAAAACAACAAACAAUUAAUAAUAACCCCACAUUAAUUACCCAAAAAACCAAUAAAUCAUUCUACCCAUUUAGUAUGUGCGACAGAAAAAGAAAUUUAAGCUAUAGAAAAAGUACCGCAAGGGAAAGCUGAAAAAGAAAUGAAACAAAUCAGUCAAGCAAAAAAAAGCAGAGACUCAUCCUCGUACCUUUUGCAUCAUGAAUUAGUUAGACACCCCAAGCAAAGAGACCUAUAGUUUGUUUCCCCGAAACUAAGUGAGCUACUCCGAGACAGCCUAAUAAUAGGGCGAACCCGUCUCUGUGGCAAAAGAGUGGGGAGAGCUCCGAGUAGAGGUGACAGAUCUACCGAACUUAGUUAUAGCUGGUUGCCUGAGAACUGAAUAUAAGUUCAGCCUCCCAGCUUCUCUACACACUAUCACACCCAGACAGUUACUAAAGAACACCGAGAGCGUAAGUUAAAGGGGGAACAGCUCCUUUAACAUAAGAUACAACUUUAUCAGAAGGAUAAAGAUCAUAAUAAUCAAGGUACCAACUUUUCGUAGGCCUAAAAGCAGCCAUCCUUAUAGAAAGCGUCAAAGCUCAAAUACCCCUUCCACCCCUUAUUACGAUAGCCAAUCUAACUCCUCUAAUACUACCAGGCUUUUUCAUGCCCACAUGAAAGUAAUUAUGCUAAUAUGAGUAAUAAGAGAGCUCGCCUCUCUCCCCACACAAGUGUAAAUCGAAACAAACCCCAACCGAAAAUUAAUGGCCCCAAAAAAAGAGGGGAUUGAAUAACUAAUAGAUUACUAGAAAAACAACCAACAAUCAUCCAUUAAUCUUACACCAGCGUGUGAUAAAGGAAAGACUAAACCAAUGAGAAGGAACUCGGCAAACACCUCAGGCCUCGCCUGUUUACCAAAAACAUCACCUCCUGCAAACUUUAUGUAUAUAGGAGGCAUUGCCUGCCCAGUGACACAUGUUUAACGGCCGCGGUAUCCUAACCGUGCAAAGGUAGCGUAAUCACUUGUCUUUUAAUUGAAGACCUGUAUGAAUGGCAUAACGAAGGCUUAACUGUCUCCUCUUUAAAGUCAAUAAAAUUGAUCUCCCCGUGCAGAAGCGGGGAUUACACCAUAAGACGAGAAGACCCUGUGGAGCUUUAGACGCUAAAGCAGCCCACGAACUAACCUUGUCAUAAACAAGUUAUUAACCAGUGAAACCCUGCUUCCCUGUCUUCGGUUGGGGCGACCAGGAGAAACUAAAAAACUCUCCCGAGGAGUAGGAAGACUCUUCCCAAAACCAAGAGCCACACCUCUAAUAAUUAGAACUUCUAACCAUAAUAGACCCGGAAUACCCGAUCUUCGAACAAAGUUACCCCAGGGAUAACAGCGCAAUCCCCUUUUAGAGCCCGUAUCGACAAGGGGGUUUACGACCUCGAUGUUGGAUCAGGACACCCCAAUGGUGCAGCCGCUAUUAAAGGUUCGUUUGUUCAACGAUUAAAGUCCUACGUGAUCUGAGUUCAGACCGGAGUAAUCCAGGUCAGUUUCUAUCUAUGAUACAGUUUUUUCCAGUACGAAAGGACCAAAAAAACAAGGUCCCUGCCUUAAGCACACCUUAUUCUACCUCAAUGAACCCAAAUCAAUUGACGUUAGAAAGUAACUUAAAAUCUUAGACUAAGAUAU
ensembl:Mt_rRNA